rnacentral:lncRNA from 1 species
UUAAUUAAAAUAUGUUAAACUUGGAAAUCAAUUGGUUAAUUAACAUGACGAAGAUGAACAAAUAACUUAAAUAAAAUUUUAAACACUUACCUAUCAAUUUUUUUUUUUGAUUAGUGUUAUUUUUUUUUUGUAUUUUUGAUGCACAUUUACAAUUAUAUUUAUUUAUACAAAUAUGAUAUUUAAGUUGAUGUAAAGAAUUAUAUUUGUAAUCUUAUUUAGCUUAUUUUUAUUAAUGUGAUAUAUAUAUAUAUAUAUAUAUAUUAUUUUAAUAGUUAUUAGGAUCUAACCCGCCCUUUUAAAGGGCAUGUAAUGUUUUUCAUCUAAUGUUUUUUUUUGUCAAACUAAAGACAAAUUAUUA